GAUCAUGGCUCAGGAUGAACGCUGGCGGCGUGCUUAACACAUGCAAGUCGAGCGAAGCACUUUACUUGGAUUUCUUCGGAAUGACGAGUAUUGUGACUGAGCGGCGGACGGGUGAGUAACGCGUGGGUAACCUGCCUCAUACAGGGGGAUAACAAUUAGAAAUGGCUGCUAAUACCGCAUAAGACCACAGCACCGCAUGGUGCAGGGGUAAAAACUCCGGUGGUAUGAGAUGGACCCG
rnacentral:rRNA from 1 species